UGCAAAGCGACGGUGCAAGGUUUCAGCC
rnacentral:piRNA from 1 species